rnacentral:rRNA from 1 species
GGUUAAGUCCGCACGAGCGCAACCCCUAUUGUUAGUUGCCAUCAUUCAGUUGGGCACUCUAGCGAGACUGCCGGUAAUAAACCGGAGGAAGGUGGGGAUGACGUCAAAUCAUCAUGCCCCUUAUGACCUGGGCUACACACGUGCUACAAUGGUUGGUACAACGAGUUGCGAGUCGGUGACGGCGAGCUAAUCUCUUAAAGCCAAUCUCAGUUCGGAUUGUAGGCUGCAACUCGCCUACAUGAAGUCGGAAUCGCUAGUAAUCGCGGAUCAGCACGCCGCGGUGAAUACGUUCCCGGGCCUU